UACGUAGGGUGCGAGCGUUGUCCGGAAUUACUGGGCGUAAAGAGCUCGUAGGUGGUUUGUCGCGUUGUUCGUGAAAACCGGGGGCUUAACCCUCGGCGUGCGGGCGAUACGGGGCAGACUGGAGUACUGCAGGGGAGACUGGAAUUCCUGGUGUAGCGGUGGAAUGCGCAGAUAUCAGGAGGAACACCGGUGGCGAAGGCGGGUCUCUGGGCAGUAACUGACGCUGAGGCACGAAGGUCAGGGGAGCGAACAGG
rnacentral:rRNA from 1 species